UGGGGAAUAUUGGGCAAUGGAGGCAACUCUGACCCAGCCAUGCCGCGUGGGUGACGAAGGUCUUCGGAUUGUAAAGCCCUUUCGGCGGGGACGAUGAUGACGGUACCCGCAGAAGAAGCCCCGGCUAACUUCGUGCCAGCAGCCGCGGUAAUACGAAGGGGGCUAGCGUUGUUCGGAAUUACUGGGCGUAAAGGGCGUGUAGGCGGCCCGUUAAGACAGGUGUGAAAUUCCUGGGCUCAACCCAGGACGUGCGCCUGUGACUGGCGGGCUUGAAUCCGGGAGAGGAUGGUGGAACUCCCAGUGUAGAGGUGAAAUUCGUAGAUAUUGGGAAGCACACCCGUGGCGAAGGCGGCCAUCUGGACCGGUAUUGACGCUAAGGCGCGACAGCGUGGGGAGCAAACA
rnacentral:rRNA from 1 species